rnacentral:rRNA from 1 species
AUGAACGCUAGCUACAGGCUUAACACAUGCAAGUCGAGGGGCAGCAUGGUCUUAGCUUGCUAAGGCCGAUGGCGACCGGCGCACGGGUGAGUAACACGUAUCCAACCUGCCGUCUACUCUUGGACAGCCUUCUGAAAGGAAGAUUAAUCCAGGAUGGCAUCAUGAGUCCACAUGUUCUCAUGAUUAAAGGUAUUCCGGUAGACGAUGGGGAUGCGUUCCAUUAGAUAGUAGGCGGGGUAACGGCCCACCUAGUCGACGAUGGAUAGGGGUUCUGAGAGGAAGGUCCCCCACAUUGGAACUGAGACACGGUCCAAACUCCUACGGGAGGCAGCAGUGAGGAAUAUUGGUCAAUGGGCGAGAGCCUGAACCAGCCAAGUAGCGUGAAGGAUGACUGCCCUAUGGGUUGUAAACUUCUUUUAUAAAGGAAUAAAGUCGGGUAUGCAUACCCGUUUGCAUGUACUUUAUGAAUAAGGAUCGGCUAACUCCGUGCCAGCAGCCGCGGUAAUACGGAGGAUCCGAGCGUUAUCCGGAUUUAUUGGGUUUAAAGGGAGCGUAGAUGGAUGUUUAAGUCAGUUGUGAAAGUUUGCGGCUCAACCGUGAAAUUGCAGUUGAUACUGGAUGUCUUGAGUUCAGUUGAGGCAGGCGGAAUUCGUGGUGUAGCGGUGAAAUGCUUAGAUAUCACGAAGAACUCCGAUUGCGAAGGCAGCCUGCUAAUCUGCGACUGACAUUGAGGCUCGAAAGUGUGGGUAUCAAACAGGAUUAGAUACCCUGGUAGUCCACGCAGUAAACGAUGAAUGCUGGUUGUUCGGGCCGACUGAGGCCUGAGUAACGUAGUGAAAACGUUAAGCAUUCCACCUGGGGAGUACGCCGGCAACGGUGAAACUCAAAGGAAUUGACGGGGGCCCGCACAAGCGGAGGAACAUGUGGUUUAAUUCGAUGAUACGCGAGGAACCUUACCCGGGCUUAAAUUGCAGAUGAAUUACGGUGAAAGCCGUAAGCCGCAAGGCAUCUGUGAAGGUGCUGCAUGGUUGUCGUCAGCUCGUGCCGUGAGGUGUCGGCUUAAGUGCCAUAACGAGCGCAACCCUUGUUGUCAGUUACUAACAGGUUCCGCUGAGGACUCUGACAAGACUGCCAUCGUAAGAUGUGAGGAAGGUGGGGAUGACGUCAAAUCAGCACGGCCCUUACGUCCGGGGCUACACACGUGUUACAAUGGGGGGUACAGAGGGUCGCUACCACGCGAGUGGCUGCCAAUCCCCAAAACCCCUCUCAGUUCGGACUGGAGUCUGCAACCCGACUCCACGAAGCUGGAUUCGCUAGUAAUCGCGCAUCAGCCACGGCGCGGUGAAUACGUUCCCGGGCCUUGUACACACCGCCCGUCAAGCCAUGGGAGCCGGGGGUACCUGAAGUGCGUAACCGCGAGGAGCGCCCUAGGGUAAAACUGGUGACUGGGGCU